CGGGCCGCGGCGGCCGCGCCUCCUCGGGGAGCUGAAGGCGGGCCAUGCAGAUUUGGAGAGGCUGCUGGACGAGGGAGGGCCGCGGCCGCCAGGGAUACGGGAUUUCUGGUUGGGAGGGAGGGAGAAGGAAGCCUCUGCCCAAAAGCGUCUGGGGAGGUGGGUGGGACCGUGGACGGCGUAGAGGCAGUCCGGCGAGGAGUGAGGGUCUGGGCUGUCACCGUGAGUUGAAUAUGGCAGAUGGGAGGACGGUGGCCGGGCGGGGGCGGUGGAGAGGUAUCGCUUCUCGGCCUUUUGGCUAAGAUCAAGUGUAGUAUCUGUUCUUAUCAGUUUAAUAUCUGAUACGUCCUCUAUCUGAGGACAAUAUAUUAAAUGGAUUUUUGGAGCAGGGAGGUGGAAUAGGAGCUUGCUCCGUCCACUCCACGCAUCGACCUGGUAUUGCAGUACUUCCAGGAACGGUGCACCUUCCCCACGAAACUGGUGAAAAAAAGAGGUGUUUAGUAUGGUACCUUCUGUCCCCUUACCACAUCCUUGGUGCCACCUGUGCCUCCGAACGUAGCUGGCAGAAAGCGUACCCACCGGGCUCAUGUGGCUCGCCCCAGCUCUCCGUAGGCCAGGGAAAACUAGGCACCGUCAACGUUCCCUACCGGCCAUCAAGAUGCCCUUACAGGAAAGGUUCUCCACGUCUAAAUACCUGCAUCCUGGGACACGUUCCAAGUGACCUGCCAGGGUGACUGCUCAUCGGCUGUCCCACCCGGCCGGCCUGUGGGAUACUGCGUCUGGCCCUCCGACCCAUCCCGAGCAGCUGGCGACGAGGCCCCUUCACUGCGGGAACUUCAAGCCGGCGGAGGAGCCUUCCCACUUCGGGAGAUCUCCACACGCAGUCUCCCUUGGAUUCAGCUGCCUCUGCCUUUUGUAACUCCCGCUCCCUGUACGAGCCCGGACUGACCAACGCUGAGCCAGAGGUAGGGACGUCUCUAUGCCCCCGUCCAGCAGGAAGAAGUCCCAGAAGAUGAGACCUUCCGCCCUCAGAACCGUAAAGAUUUAUGGGUCUAAACUGUUCACGGGGGGGGGGGGGGGGGGAGUGAUGUGGGAAACAAAGGCAGAAGAAGAAUUAUUAAAGUUCCCUACUACCUGUAGCCCGUUGGCAAGUCCCUGAAACAGGCAGAGUGACAUUCCCCUAGGGACUCACUGGCCUCGAUGUUAAUCGAUGUUAAUCUGCCCUUUUGGUAAGGGCAGAAGGCAACCCUCGCCUGAAACCCUCCCCACACCCACCAGGAUCCUGUAAGUCUACUUUAACCCAUAAAGGGCCCUUUAUUUCUAAACCCCGCAAGGUUCGUGUUGGCAGUCAUCCCCCAAGCAUAUGGCCCACCGAUGUACAUCGGAAGGGUCUCACCCCGAGGGUUUUGCUAGACGGUAAUAGGUAAUGACAACAACAGCUCAGCCCCCUGGAGGCCCUGGAAACCUGGCUUCCAAAAUUCCUAGGAGACUUAACGCUCUCCGUGACCCCCUCCCAACUUGGAAGUAUGUUAAUGGGGACACCUCCCCGGGACCCCGCUGGGGCUCUUUCUGCCCAGGGGCCCUGUCCCCGUGCUUUAAUAAAACCACCCUUUGGCACGGAA